rnacentral:rRNA from 1 species
CCUACGGGAGGCAGCAGUGGGGGAUAUUGCACAAUGGGGGGAACCCUGAUGCAGCGACGCCGCGUGGGUGAAGAAGCGCCUCGGCGCGUAAAGCCCUGUCAGCAGGGAAGAAAAUGACGGUACCUGAAGAAGAAGCCCCGGCUAACUACGUGCCAGCAGCCGCGGUAAUACGUAGGGGGCAAGCGUUAUCCGGAUUUACUGGGUGUAAAGGGAGCGUAGACGGCAGUGCAAGUCUGGAGUGAAAGGCGGGGGCUCAACCCCCGGACUGCUCUGGAAACUGUACGGCUGGAGUGCAGGAGAGGUAA